UGACGGGGGCCCGCACAAGCGGUGGCAGGUGGUUGACUGGCUCAUCGACAAGAUUGAUCACGAAAACGUGACAAACGUCACCAAGGUGUGGAA
rnacentral:rRNA from 11 species